GUCUAUGGCCAUACCACCCUGAACCAGCCCGAUCUCGUCUGAUCUCGGAAGCUAAGCAGGGUUGGGCCUGGUUAGUGCUUGGAUGGGAGCUAAAUUCU
rnacentral:rRNA from 1 species